AACGAACGCUGGCGGCAUGCCUAACACAUGCAAGUCGAACGAGACCUUCGGGUCUAGUGGCGCACGGGUGCGUAACGCGUGGGAACCUGCCUUUAGGUUCGGAAUAACUCAGAGAAAUUUGAGCUAAUACCGGAUGAUGUCUUCGGACCAAAGAUUUAUCGCCUUUAGAUGGGCCCGCGUUGGAUUAGCUAGUUGGUGGGGUAAAGGCCUACCAAGGCGACGAUCCAUAGCUGGUCUGAGAGGAUGAUCAGCCACCCUGGGACUGAGACACGGCCCAGACUCCUACGGGAGGCAGCAGUGGGGAAUAUUGGACAAUGGGCGAAAGCCUGAUCCAGCAAUGCCGCGUGAGUGAUGAAGGCCUUAGGGUUGUAAAGCUCUUUUACCCGAGAUGAUAAUGACAGUAUCGGGAGAAUAAGCGCCGGCUAACUCCGUG
rnacentral:rRNA from 1 species